UAAGCACACGUUUCCUGUGCUGCUUCAAC
rnacentral:piRNA from 1 species